rnacentral:rRNA from 1 species
AUUGAACGCUGGCGGCAGGCCUAACACAUGCAAGUCGAGCGAGCGGCGGACGGGUGAGUAAUGUAUGGGGACUGCCCGAUAGAGGGGGAUAACGACUGGAAACGGUAGCUAAUACCGCAUACUAUCGGAUAACCCAUAUCGGAUUAGCUAGUUGGUGGGGUAAAGGCUCACAAAGGCAACGAUCCGUAGCUGUUUGGAGAGGACGACCAGCCACACGGGGACUGAGACACGGCCCCGACUCCUACGGAGGCAGCAGUGGGGAAUUUUGGACUAUGGGGGAAACCCUUAUCCAGCCAUCCCGCGUGUAUGAUGAAGGCCUGCGGGUUGUAAAGUACUUUUGGCAGAGAAGCGGUAUCUGCAGAAUAAGCACCGGCUAACUACGUGCCAGCAGCCGCGGUAAUUC